rnacentral:misc_RNA from 1 species
ACAUGCGAUCACAACAACGAAUAAAUAAAUUUGCAUCCUAGUUUCCACUAAAAUAAUCACUAUAACAUACAUCUUGUGCAGGUAUGGAACAGAUCAUAUUGAAUCAUGAUUUCUUCACCAGGAACAGAUGGGUUAAUCAAAGAACAAGAAGGGAGACGGUAAAGAAAAUUUUGCGAAAGAGGCAACUGUAAGGCCCCACAUGAUUAGUACUCUAUACAUAACAAAAAGAAAUUUCAUACUACAAAAAGUACUUCAUCCGAUCA